UUGUGACAAUUCGCUGAACAUUGGCAAGGAAUAAAUACACAGAUACACAUACAGAAAAUAAUAGAAAAAAAUAAAAUAAAAUACAAUUGACGGUUAAAGGAUGAGGAAGCAACUGUCUGAGAUAAUAUUUAAAAGAAUAUGCAAAGAUCAUCGGAAGGAAGCGACGCAAUGUUGGCUUGUCUUAGUAAAUUAAUUGAAAUUUCAUAUAAAUGCAAAAGGAAAGCAACAGAGAGGGUCGCAGAGAGAAUGUCCGAUGAAAGCUUACUUUGUGUGCCACCACCACUACCACCACGGCGAAGCACCACCGGCUGAGCUGAUCUCAAAUUUCAUCUUAAGACAAAUGUCCACACACACACACAUACAUACAUGCAUACAUACUCACAUAACUACUGCUGCGUUGGCCAGUUGAACGCAUGUGUUGGCGGAGACGAUGCAGGCGCUCAUCGCAGCCAUGGUUAUGCAGUAAGCUAGCCAAGUGAAAUGAAGAUGAAGACGCUGCCGGCGAAAGGAAGUCCGUCGAAAUUAUUAUAGAAAUGUUGAGGCAAAGAAAGGAGCACUGGAGAGUACUGGAAAUACGGCUGCAUGAUAGAAAAGUACGUGUAAGUAAGGAAAGAACGUAGAAUUCCGGUAAAGUUACUUGUGAAAGAAAUUAGCAUGUUGAUGCUGAGGGCAGUAGGAGUGUUGUGGAAAGAGGGUACGUAGUGGACCCAUGCUUACUGGAGAAAAUUAACGAAAAAUACUUUGGCAACAGUUUAAAUGAGUAUACCCAAAUGCAGCAACAACAAAAGUAAUAACAACAGCAUUGAGUACGGCUUGUACGGCUUCAAGCAAAAGAAGAAGACUAAGAAAAAACAACAACUAUUCACCCGUCAAGCAAAUGAAUGGUAGACAAAGAAUAAUUGCAGUCGCCAUGAACUUCCCGCCGAAAGAAACCAACUCCAGCGCUGUACCAGGAUGCCUCAUUUCCUUAGCGAAGAUGUUCUUAUUACAAUAUAUAAAUGCACUCGGUGGAGUUGUUCUUCUGU